GGGAGGAAGACAGAAAAUCACACUGCCAUGUGUGUACCUGUGCAACAAUCUUGCAUGUUCUUCACAUGUACCCCAAAACCUAAAAUGCAAUAAAAAAUGCAGAAAUGAAUUGAGUGGGUGGCAAAUGCCUGUAAUCCCAGCUACUCGGGAGGCUGAGGCAGGAGACUCGCUUGAACCUGGGAUGUAGAGGUUGCAGUGAGCCAAGAUUUACCACUGCACUCCAGCCUGGGUGACAGAGUGAGACUCUGUCUCAAAAAAAAAAAAAAAGAUAUUUUAGAUUCUAAGCCAGCACACAUACAUAUAAUUGAUAACUGAAAGGGAAAAUUUUAAACGUAUGUACCCGGCAGACGACCAGGUUUGGCUGUGAUGCUGCUGCCCGGGUCAGAAUGUCAUACCCAGGCUAUCCCCCAACAGGCUACCUACCUUUCCCUGGGUAUCCUCCUGCAGGUCAGGGGUCAUCUUUUCCCCCUUCUGGUCAGUAUCCUUAUCCUUGUGGCUUUCCUCCAAUGGGGGGAGGUGCCUACCCACAAGUGCCAAGUGGUGGCUAUCCAGGAGCUGGAGGCUACCCUGCGCCUGGAGGUUAUCCAGCCCCUGGAGGCUAUCCUGGUGCCCCACAGCCAGGGGGAGCUCCAUCCUAUCCUGGAGUUCCUCCAGGCCAUGGAUUUGGAGUUCCACCAGGUGGAGCAGGCUUUUCUGGCUAUCCACAGCCACCUUCACAGUCUUAUGGAGGUGGUCCAGCACAGGUCCCACUGCCUGGUGGCUUUCCUGGAGGACAGAUGCCUUCUCAGUAUCCUGGAGGACAGCCUACUUACCCUAAUCAGCCUGCUGCAAUGACUCACGGCACUCAAGGAACUAUCCAACCAGCUGCCCACUUCAAUGCUAUGAGAGAUGCAGAAAUUCUCCGUAAGGCAAUGAAGGGUUUUGGGACAGACGAACAGGCAAUUGUGGAUGUAGUGGCCAACCGUUCCAAUAAUCGGAGGCAAAAAGUUAAAGCAGCAUUUAAGACCUCAUAUGGCAAGGAUUUAAUCAAAGAUCUCAAAUCAGAGUUAAGUGGAAAUAUGGAAGAACUGAUCCUGGCCCUAUUCAUGCCUCUUACGUAUUACGAUGCCUGGAGCUUACGGAAAGCGAUACAGGGAGCAGGAACUCAGGAACGUGUAUUGAUUGAAAUUUUGUGCACCCGAACAAAUCAGGAAAUCCGAGAAACUGUCAGAUGUUAUCAGUCAGAAUUUGGACGGGACCUUGAAAAGGACAUUAGGUCAGAUACAUCAAGGACAUUUUGAUCGCUUACUUAUGUCCAUGUGCCAGGGAAAUCAUGAUGAAAACCAGAGUGUAAACCACCAAAUGGCUCAGGAAGAUGCUCAGCGUCUCUAUCAAGCUAGCGAGGGGAGACUAGGGACCGAUGAAUCUUGCUUUAACAUGAUCCUUGCCACGAGAAGCUUUAAGGUGAGAGCUGAGAGCUACCAUGGAGGCUUAUUCCAGGAUGGCUAAUCAAGAUUUGUUAAGCAGUGUGAGCCUUGAGUUUUCCAGAUAUGUGGAAAGUGGUUUGAAGACCAUCUUGCAGCGUGCCCUGAACCGCCCUGCCUUCUUUGCUGAGAGGCUCUACUACACUAUGAAAGGUGCUGGCACAGAUGACUCCACCCUGGUCAGGACUGUGGUCACUCGAGGUGAGAUUGAUCUUGUACAAAUAAAACAAAUGUUCCCUCAGAUGUAUCAGAAGACCCUGGGCACAAUGAUUGCAGGUGACACGAGUGGAGAUUACCGGACACUUCUUCUGGCUAUUGUGGGCCAGAGCUUUUCAUAAAUGAAGCUAUUCAUAGCUUCUCCUUCAGAGCAAUGACCUGCAUGCAGCAAUAUCAACCUCAGCUAACCAAAAGAGCUUUCUAUCAGGGACCAUAUCAGGGUAAUGUGCUUGGUUUGCACAUAUUGUUAUUGCCUUAAUUCUAAUGUGAUUUCGUUCUCUACAUGUAAUCAACGUAAAGCCAUGUCACAAUGAUACAGUAAUAUUGCAACGUUUGUAAAGCUUCAUUCUUACUAGUUUCAUUCUAAUCAAGAUGUCAAAUGGAAUAAAAAAUCACAGCAAUUUCUAAUUCUGUGUAAUAAUACUGACUAAUUUUUUUGGGUUGCUGAAAGCUCUGCCUUCCAGAAUCCCUCUAGGUCUGCUUGAUAGAGUGGGUAGUAUGUCAUAACUGUGUACUUUUAAAAAUAUUCAUCCCUUUACAUCUAGAAGAAUAAUUUACAUCUUAUUUUGCAUAAAUUUGUUCUAUAUUCACAAACACUUUCCACAUAAAAAAUAGAUUACUAUUACUGUAGCACCUUUUAAGAAAGGGUCAUGUUUAUAUGC